AAGAGUCUUCUAAUCACCCUGUGGUGGCUUGGAAAGGGCGAUACAUUAACUUCAAUUUCUGAUCGGUUUGAUGUAGCUUGUUCCACAGCUCAUCACUAUGCUAAUAUAUUAUUAGAAAGGCUUGUGGGUUUAUUACCAAAAAUUUAUUUCAUGGCCGAAUGAAGAAGAGUGGUUGACCAUUGAACAACAAUUUAGGGAAAUUUGUGGUUAUCCAGGUAUUAAUAUAUGGUUUUAAAUAACUGAUUUUGCAUUGGGUUUUUUGACAUUAUUUUAUCACCUUUUUUAUUAUAUUUUUUAAAGGGGUGAUUGGAGCUAUUGAUGGCUGCAAUAUAAAUUUCAAGGCUCCCCUGAAACAGCAAGAUAGCUAUAUUGAUAAAAAUUCAAACCAUAGCAUAAAGAUGCAACCUGUUGUUACUGCUAAAAGGAUAUUUACAAAUAUAAAUGUUGGAUUUCCGGGUUCAGUUCCUGACUCUAGGAUUUUUAAUAAUAGUAAGUUGUUCUUACAAACACAAGAAAAUAUCCAAAAAUAUUAUCCUUUAGAAGACUACCAUAUUUUAGGUGACAAGGCUUAUCCACUUUUAGGUUGGUUGUUGACGCCUUUUAAAGACUAUGGAAAUUUGAAUCAAAGGAAAACUAUGCACAACUUAAAACACAGUAAAACUAGAAUUCCAGUUGAACACACAUUCGGUAUAUUAAAAGGACGGUGGAGAAUAUUAAAAUAUAUAAAUGUAAAUUGUCCUAAAAAGGCAACAAAAAUCAUUGUUGCAUGCUGUGUCUUGCACAAUUACUGUUAUGAAAACCUGGAUGAAUGGACUGGUGAAAUAGAUGAAAAUGAUAAUGACAAUGAAGUUGGUAUAUUAAUCCAAAUUCAAAAUGAGAAUCUUGGAUUUUAUAAGAGAGAGCAAAUUUGUGACCUUUUUGUCUAAAGAAGAAAUGUUAGAAGUGUACAAAAGUGUAAUUAGCAACAUGUUAAAAAUCAAUGUAGAUAAGUAGAAUAAGAUAGAACGGUUAAUGUAAAUUAUGUUAAAUUUUAAACAGUUAAGAUAUAAAUGUUGAUAUUAAUGUUUGAAAAAAAUAUAGGACAAAUUAAGAAAAUAAAUAUAAAUAGAAUUUACAAAA